AUUGAACGCUGGCGGCAGGCCUAACACAUGCAAGUCGAACGAGUGGCGGACGGGUGAGUAAUGUCUGGGCAACUGCCUGAUGGAGGGGUAUAACUACUGGAAACGGUAGCUACUACCGCAUACCCUCGGAUGUGCCCAGAUGGGAUUAGCUAGUGGGUGGGGUAAAGGCUCACCUAGGCGACGAUCCCUAGCUGGUCUGAGAGGAUGAGCGGCCACACGGGAACUGAGACACGGCCCAGACUCCUACGGGAGGCAGCAGUGGGGAAUAUCGGACAAUGGGCGCAAGCCUGAUGCAGCAAUGCCGGGGGUAUGAAGAAGGCUUUCGGGUUGUAAAUUACUUUCUGCGGGGAGGCGUUAUCUGAAGAGAAAGCACCGGCUAACUCCGUGCCAGCCGCCGCGGUAAUUC
rnacentral:rRNA from 1 species